CGCACGGGUGCGUAACGCGUGGGAAUCUGCCCUCUGGUACGGAAUAACUCAGGGAAACUUGAGCUAAUACCGUAUAAUGACUUCGGUCCAAAGAUUUAUCGCCUGAGGAUGAGCCCGCGUCGGAUUAGCUAGUUGGUGAGGUAAAAGCUCACCAAGGCGACGAUCCGUAGCUGGUCUGAGAGGAUGAUCAGCCACACUGGGACUGAGACACGGCCCAG
rnacentral:rRNA from 1 species